CGCUUUCACUCCUACGGGAGGCAGCAGUGGGGAAUAUUGCACAAUGGGCGCAAGCCUGAUGCAGCCAUGCCGCGUGUAUGAAGAAGGCCUUCGGGUUGUAAAGUACUUUCAGCAGUGAGGAAGGCGGAGUCGUUAAUAGCGGCCUCGUUUGACGUUAGCUGCAGAAGAAGCACCGGCUAACUCCGUGCCAGCAGCCGCGGUAAUACGGAGGGUGCGAGCGUUAAUCGGAAUUACUGGGCGUAAAGCGCAUGCAGGUGGUUUGUUAAGUCAGAUGUGAAAGCCCGGGGCUCAACCUCGGAAUUGCAUUUGAAACUGGCAGACUAGAGUACUGUAGAGGGGGUAGAAUUUCAGGUGUAGCGGUGAAAAUGCGUAGAGAUCUGAAGGAAUACCGGUGGCGAAGGCGGCCCCCUGGACAGAUACUGACACUCAGAUGCGAAAAGCGUGGGGAGCAAACAGGAUUAGAUACCCUGGUAG
rnacentral:rRNA from 1 species